ACAUCAGCUGGGAGGAUGUUCUGCUUUAUAGUUACAGCUGUUAUUGUUUCUAGGGAGACCACUUUACUUAUCCACCCUCCCUGUGCCUGCCACAUCCUCAAUUUGCGGACACUCAGGAUCUUGCUAUGCUUAGCUGCACAUGUGGAGCUGAAAAAUUCAGAAGAAAUAGAUUAUUACAGCAGCCUCGGUUCCUGUCUUUCCUUGUCUGGCCACAAUGAAAGGAAGAAGUCUCUAAAAUUAGUGAGGAUCUUCAGCACAACUUCAUCACCAAAGCAGUGAUGUAAAACCCACUGAAGUCAGUACAAUUCUUCCUUUAACAUCAAUCAUUUUUGGAUCAAGCAGUAACUGACAAAGCAUACAAAGUUCAUUUUUAAUUCUUUUACCUACGGCUUUUUGAUAAGUAAGUACGAAGACAUAUAUAGGAGGUAAAAGAAAAAUCUACAGUGAAUAAUGUGUUUUCCAUAUGUCCCAGAUGCCUGAACAUAGACUAGUUUUCCUUAAUUACUUAUUACUGGAUUUUAAUUCUAAUGUUUUAUGAUAAGUCAGUUGUCUAUAAGCUCUCUUGAAUAUUUGAUACCUGAUAUUCACAGGCUGAAAUCUGCUGGCUAGUUGUAAAUGGCCUUGUUAGCCACAUGAUAUUGUUUCUAGUCUCUGAUCACAACAGUACACGUUGCAGGCUACUAAAACUCUAAGACAUCUGUGAGCCUGGAAUAUUAUCAGAAAGACUGUAGAUAUCUUACAGACAGUAGAUAUAAACUCAGGAAAAG
rnacentral:lncRNA from 1 species